rnacentral:lncRNA from 1 species
CGCCCCCAGCUUGCAGCCCCGAGCCAGUCGCCUCAACCUUGCCCUGCUACUCCUGCCCUGCGAUCCGUCUUCGUAUCAGCGUUGUGAGUAUUAGCGACAGCAUUAACAAUGAUUAAUAUAGUCUACUAUUAGUGACGGCAUUAAUGACAGCUAGAGUGCAGUCACUAAAAGUUAAUUAAAUAUUGAUUUAAUUAAUUAGUUAGAUAAUUAAUUAAUUGAUUAAUUAGAUGUAUG